rnacentral:sRNA from 2 species
AAAUAAACCUGAUAGUAACGGAAAGCUCGAAACGCAGUGGAGACUUGAAGUGAAUAGCAGGAACAAAC